rnacentral:rRNA from 1 species
UACGUAGGGUCCGAGCGUUGUCCGGAAUUACUGGGCGUAAAGAGCUCGUAGGUGGUUUGUCGCGUUGUUCAUGAAAACUCACAGCUCAACUGUGGGCGUGCGGGCGAUACGGGCAGACUAGAGUACUGCAGGGGAGACUGGAAUUCCUGGUGUAGCGGUGGAAUGCGCAGAUAUCAGGAGGAACACCGGUGGCGAAGGCGGGUCUCUGGGCAGUAACUGACGCUGAGGUGCGAAAGCGUGGGGAGCAAAUAGG